AUCCUUAUCUCCUCCUGCCUGACUGGAAGGAACUGGUCUAGUAUUCGACCUCCAAGAAGUUCAGAAACACAAAUUUUCUUCAUGAACUUCCAAUAAGGUCCAUAAGGGGCAAAGGAAAAAUCAGCAGAGCCAUAUGUGAGGGGAGGAAGCAACAACACAAGGGACAGAACCAAGGAGUAGAUGAAUUAAUGGCCCAUACUUGGUUGAAAGCUUGUGGAAAGCUUGAUGAGGUAUUGGACCAAGUAGAUGGAGGUGUCCAAGGAUUGGUAGGGCUGGUGGACUUGGUGGAAGAUGAGAUUUGGGUCGAAUUUUGUUUAGUAUUACUCUGACCACAAUCAUGGAAACUAGCCAUAUGAGAAGAAGGAUCAUGUAUUCUUGGAAAUCAGCCAUGUUUGAGUUGUGGUUUAAUGGUGUAGAAAGUAUCAAAGAGCAAUUUAUAUAAGGGACAAGGAAGACUCUCUCCUUCACUAGAAAUGUCACUUGGUGCUUGGCAAGAAAGCUUGAAGAGGCAUAUCAGAGACGGCACGGUGUAUUCAAGAUUAAAUGAUUGAUUACAAAGCAAAUCAACAGAUGUUUGAAUUGACACACUGCUUCCUUUUAACAUGGGCUAGUUGUUUUUAAUCAUCUGUUACAAAUACUUUACUCAAACUGAAAGGAAAAGCAAUGCUAUUUGACAAAAUAGCAUCUUUGAAUUCUUGGUAUGGACCGUUUCCGUUAUAUACAUAGAAAUAGAAUAUAUGUUUCCUAUGCAUAUUAUAUUGCAAGUGGCAGACUUUUGAACUGAAUAGCUAUGGUGGGGAAAAAGGUUGAAGGAUAUGGAUGGAGAUGUGACAACAUAUAUAGUAACAGCUUCAUCUUAUUAAUAUAAAUGCCUUAUUUUUGUACAGACUUGUAUGUAUUCUUGUGGUCAUUGCCUAUUUCUUUAAUGAUUCUAUUUCUGUU